rnacentral:lncRNA from 1 species
UAGCGCUCUGUCAGUUUACUCCUGAGGAAUUAAUCGUAAUUUACCAUGUUUAAAAAAACUAAAUGACUGCAGUCUUAAUAUAGCGCUGUCGUCGUAGCAGUUCUGACGAACACAUCUACAGUCAGUCAGUGGCACUUUACGGGGUUUUACUCUAAGCGGUGGCAUGAUGACACAAAAAAAGAACUAAACAGCACCACGUAAGCGAGAAAGAGGACGAAGAGACUGGAUGUGUAAGAAAGAGACAGUACGUGUGUCGUGUGACCAUUUUGGAAAGUUCUCGUUCUUUUCCGCUCUCUAGACUACUAGAGACAAACUGGACUGUCAGGGAAGGAAUUUUCCCUUCUGUGUUUUCUUGUAGCGUGAACAUCUUACCAUUGUUGUUUUAUUUCAUUUAUGGAAUACAUUUAAAAAAAAAAACUGUUUAACAGAAGACUAUAGUAAUUCAUCUUGAUAUGCCGAUUAGUGAGAGCGAUUAUCGUCAAUGUGCGAGAUGAGGCAGCAGGGGGCGCUGCAGCAGUUCGUUUUCGCGGUGCCCCUGGAGCGGCCCUGGGGAGCGGGGGCACAGGAGGGGGAGGUGACUCCUUUAUUUUAAUCAAAUAGAAGUUCAGGAAGAAAAAGUUAUACGUCUUUUAAAGCAAACUGAGCGCAAGGGUUAUUUUUUGGUUCCGCUGAGUCACCGGUGCUUGUGCGUUCUACAUGGUGGAUAGUUGACAAGCCAGCAAAAUAAAGGAUAACUUUUUUUAUGGAAAUGGUUCUGCCAGAUGACUCCCCUCCCCCCACCGCCAAGUGCAUUUUCCACACAGAUCCCAGCGUCCCCCCUGCUAACCGACUCAGCGAUGCCUGCACCCGCCUCACUUGCCAUCGCCAAAAUAUUCUGGCCCAAAACAGAGACACAGAGGAAACCAGCCAAGAAGGACUUCAAACUGGAGAAAGGUUUAACGAAAAGAUCCAGGAGGACUGUUUUCAGCAGUGUGUUUUGUAUGUGUGUGUGUUGGAUCACUGGGCUCUGGUGGUCUCCUUUCCUGCUAGACAUCACCUCUGCCAUUGA